rnacentral:rRNA from 1 species
UACGGAGGGUGCAAGCAUUAAUCGGAUUUAUUGGGCGUAAAGGGCGCGUAGGCGGCUGCGUAAGUCAGAUGUGAAAUCCUGGAGCUUAACUCCAGAACAGCAUUUGAAACUGUGCGGCUAGAGGAUAGUCGGAGAAAACGGAACUCCACAAGUAGCGGUGAAAUGCGUAGAUAUGUGGAAGAACAUCUGUGGCGAAGGCGGUUUUCUAGAUUAUUCCUGACGCUGAGACGCGAAAGCAAGGGGAGCAAACAGG